CCUUUCCUCCUCCUUGCGUCACUUCGCAUUUUCCUUUCUUCCCUGAAAUCGCUGCCUUCUGCAGGUUUCCUCCCGGUGUCCAAUCCAGCUGUAUCUCCAAGGCACAAAGCAGGCACUCAGUACAUCCUUGAUGAAUAAAUAUGAAUGGUACAUUAGCUGUGAUCAAGUGAACUUACCAAACUGUCCUUCACGCCUGGUUCCGCCAGGAUUGUAUAGACGCACCUACAGGCCAGAAUCCUCCAGUUCACCCAGCUUGGACUGCCUGGGCCCGGGCCCAGCCCUAGACCAGUAACUCUGGCCAGGAGAAUGGAAAGCCUUGAUCAGGUUAAACCCACCAGUCAACCAGAGCAUAUCCUUAGAAUGAGGGUGGG